rnacentral:rRNA from 1 species
AUUGAACGCUGGCGGCAUGCCUUACACAUGCAAGUCGAACGGUAACAGGUCUUCGGAUGCUGACGAGUGGCGAACGGGUGAGUAAUACAUCGGAACGUGCCUAGUAGUGGGGGAUAACUACUCGAAAGAGUGGCUAAUACCGCAUGAGAUCUACGGAUGAAAGCAGGGGAUCGCAAGACCUUGUGCUACUAGAGCGGCCGAUGGCAGAUUAGGUAGUUGGUGGGAUAAAAGCUUACCAAGCCGACGAUCUGUAGCUGGUGUGAGAGGACGGUCAGCCACACUGGGACUGAGACACGGCCCAGACUCCUACGGGGGGCAGCUGUGGGGAGUUUUGGACAAUGGGCGCAAGCCUGAUCCAGCCAUGCCGCGUGUCGGAAGAAGGCCUUCGGGUUGUAAAGGACUUUUGUCCGGGAGCAAAUGCUGGUGGCUAACAUCCACCGGAGCUGAGAGUACCGGAAGAAUAAGCACCGGCUAACUACGUGCCAGCCGCCGCAGUAAAAC